rnacentral:rRNA from 1 species
GAUGAACGCUGGCGGCGUGCCUAAUACAUGCAAGUCGAGCGAGCGGCGGACGGGUGAGUAAUGCCUAGGAAUCUGCCUGGUAGUGGGGGAUAACGUCCGGAAACGGGCGCUAAUACCGCAUACCAUCAGAUGUGCCCAGAUGGGAUUAGCUAGUAGGUGGGGUAAUGGCUCACCUAGGCGACGAUCCCUAGCUGGUCUGAGAGGAUGACCAGCCACACUGGAACUGAGACACGGUCCAGACUCCUACGGGAGGCAGCAGUGGGGAAUAUUGCACAAUGGGCGCAAGCCUGAUGCAGCCAUGCCGCGUGUAUGAAGAAGGCCUUCGGGUUGUAAAGUACUUUCAGCGGGGAGGCGUUACCCGCAGAAGAAGCACCGGCUAACUCCGUGCCAGCAGCCGCGGUAAUUC